GCCAGGAGCUAUAUCUACCCUGCAAUUCACAAUUGGCAACCCACUGAAGCUGAACAGGUGUGAGCCUGGUCAGUACUGGAUGGGAGACCUCCUGGGAAAAACUAAGGUUGCUGCUGGAA
rnacentral:rRNA from 1 species